rnacentral:lncRNA from 1 species
CGAAGUUUGUAAUAGUUUUUCUAGAUAAAGUUUUUCGUAAGUAUCGGUUGUUUUUUUUUCUUUGUUUUAACUUGGGGGAGUUGGGAGAGGGGGAGCAGUGGGGUUUGAACCCGGAAUCUCACUGUUUACACAUAGAAAGUCGCAUUACUUAGUGUCCCCUUAGGGACAGUAUCGGUGUUGUUGUGUUCUACUUGUAUGGUAAUAUAAUAAAAUAACUAUAUGAUUAUAUUUUUCUAACACAUAAUAAAGUAUGACAAAGAACACAUGGUGUGUAGCUCAUAUAUAAAAUCACAAUUAUAAUAGGGUUGAU